GAGCAUGUAGGCGGCUAUGUAAGUCGGUUGUGAAAGCCUUCCGCUUAACGGAAGAAUGGCGGCCGAAACUGCAUGGCUUGAGUGCGGUAGGGGAGAGUGGAACUUCUGGUGGAGCGGUGAAAUGCGUAGAUAUCAGAAGGUCAACGCCGGCGGCGAAAGCGACUCUCUGGACACGUAACUGACGCUGAGUGUGCGAACGCUAGGGGAGCAAACGGGAUUAGAUACCCCGGUAGUCCUAGCCGUAAACGAUGGGCACUAAGUAGAGGGGUUUGAUUAUUCUCUGCCGGAGCUAACGCAUUAAGUGCCCCGCCUGGAGUACGGCCGCAAGGCUAUCAACUCAAAAGAAUUGACGGGCUCGCACAAGCGUGGAGCAUGUGGCUUAAUUCGAUGCAACGCGAAGAACCUUACCGGGGCUUGACAUGGUAGAAGUAGAAUCCUGAAAGGGUGACGAUCGUAUCCCAGUCCGAAGCUAUCACAGGUGU
rnacentral:rRNA from 1 species